rnacentral:rRNA from 1 species
UACGAGGGGGGCAAGCGUUGUUCGGAAUUACUGGGCGUAAAGCGUGCGCAGGCGGCUUCGCAAGUCAGGCGUGAAAUCCCCGGGCUUAACCUGGGAAUGGCGUCUGAAACUACGGAGCUGGAGUGUGGCAGAGGGAGGUAGAAUUCCACGUGUAGCGGUGAAAUGCGUAGAUAUGUGGAGGAAUACCGAUGGCGAAGGCAGCCUCCUGGGCCAACACUGACGCUCAUGCACGAAAGCGUGGGGAGCAAACAGG